rnacentral:misc_RNA from 1 species
GAUGAAGAACGUAGCGAAAUGCGAUAAGUAAUGCGAAUUGCAGAAUUCAGUGAAUCAUCGAAUCUUUGAACGCACAUUGCGCCCGCCAGUAUUCUGGCGGGCAUGCCUGUCCGAGCGUCAUUUCAACCAUCAAGCCCCGGGCUUGUGUUGGGGACCUGCGUCCGACGCAGGCCCUGAAAACCAGUGGCGGGCUCGCUGUCCACACCGAGCGUAGUAACUAACCUCGCUAUGGAGUGGCGCGGGCGCCUGCCGUAAAACCCCCAAUUUCACAAGGUUGACCUCGGAUCAGGUAGGAAUACCCGCUGAACUUAAGCAUAUCAAUAAGCGGAGGA